GCUAAUUGUAAAUUCUCUUCUAGAAUGAAGUACACUUUCCCUUUCUCUCAGAACACAAGCUCAUCUGAGCUACAUUUGAUGAAAACGUACAAGAAUGCACUACUUCCCAAUUUCUCUCUUUCUCUUUAUAAGUGCAAGCUUAUCUGGCCUAAAUUUGAUCAAACCUACAUGAUUUUGUUUUUGCAUAUUUCAUGGAGGUUACUCACGAUUCUAGGUAUUUUGCUCCCAUAUUUUGGAUACUUGUCGAUGUCUCUUUCGAUUUUUCGCAAUUACAGGUGGGUUUUAAAUGAGAAUGAUUUAUGUUGCAACCCAUUCUUUCUCUUUUUCUGCUGCACCUUUUGGCCACUUCCACAUUACUAAUCUCAGUAGCAAAAAUCAUAUAAUUCGCAAACUUUAGGACAUCAGAUGUAGAAAUUUCAUCUUGUUCUUUACAUUUGCUGUAAUAGUUCUGAUGAAUUGGUUAAGUAUAGAAAAGGUAUGAAUACCUCAUUAAUAUUUGAAGUUUAGCAAGCAUAGCUUUCACCAAGAAAGUGACCAAAUGCUCUAUUUUGGAGUGCUCGCUUCACGACUUCACGUCUUAUUUGAUUAGUUGAUCGCUUAAAUGCUUCUGCUAAUUCGUAUAAUCUCGUAAAAUUGAACUUUUAUGUGGUGUAUUGAAAAAUAUAUCUAAAUAUCAUUGUUUCAAGAAAGAAAGAAAAGAACUUUGAUUGAAUUCUAUGAGUACUUUCGACAAGAACAUGUUAUUGUAUGUUGAUAAAGAAAUGAUUUAUCGAUAGGUGUAAUAGUCAACAUCAAUGGAGCCUCUCCGCUGAUAGAAAAACUUCUCCUAUGAUACCAACACGCGAGCAAGAUUAAUUCUUAACACUGCUGACAGAGGAGGCAGUUGUCAAAGUGUUUGCUUCAACUUAGUCUAGCAUGAAAGCUCAGGACUAAGGUUUGCAUUCUCUACUAACAUCUGCUGAUCAUGCAUUUAUAUUUCAUAUUUCUCUUACUGCAAAAGUGCUUUCUGCUUACCGAUAAACUAUGAUACAAUAAGAAUCUAAAAGCAUUAAGCUGUACGUAACUUUAAAAUGGAAACAUUUAAAGCAUUUAAACAUCACUAGUAUUAUUGACUUCAAAGCCCUCAUCAAAAAAUGGAUCUACAAGCAUUUGAUGUCCUUUCAAAUAGCACCCAUCAAUCCCUAUAAUUGGUCUACAUCCAGCUACUAACCCUUGUUUACAAGCUGCAUAGCAAACGUAGAGCGUAAAAAAUCUUUUCUUGCCUCUGACAAUUGUUCUUGGAUAAUCAUCCAUCAUCCAGCUUCAAAAUACAUGUAGUCCUUGGAUUACUCCUUCAUAGCUCUGCACAAUGGUCCCGCAACAUAUUAACUUGUUCUUCUUUGGUUCCUGUAAUUACGUCUAGUGCCUUCCCCUUUGCCCUGUAAGAUUGUUAUCUACGAAGUGUCCACUUGCGAGUUCUUUUCACAUGAGCUUGAAAUUCUUUUACUGCCCAGCUUGGUUGUCACAUGAAUGAUUAGGGCCUAUUGUCUUGAUCAUGAUAGGUUCAUCUUGAUUAGCAUUUUAUGCGAAUUAUGAACCAUUUUGAGUUUGGCACGUUACAAAUUGCUCUUGACCUCCUAGUUCAUUCUUUACAAGCUUAAUGUCUCCUUUUCUUCAUCAUUGCAUGUAUAUCAACUGUUGCAACUUUUUGCCAUUUGCAUUUUGACCAUUUCUUUUUUAAAACUAUUUUUUUAAAAAUAAUUCAGGCUAGUUAGCUUUAAUAUAUCUUUUCCACCCAUAUUAAUCAAUUUAGGUUUAGUGAUAUUUUCAGACGCAAUAGGUGGCGUAAUAUGCAAAUUUUUUCAAAAGCCAAAGUCAAAACUAAUUCUCCCAAAACCAAACAUAAAUCAAACCCCAAACCCAUCAAGCACCACCUUAGGAAAUUAAAAUGUCUUUUUCUUCUGCUGUUUUUUAACAAAAUAGCUAGGAUGUUGGUUUUCCUGAAGUAUAGACAGUUACUUUAAAGUGUUUUCUUGGUUUUAUGGGGGCAUCUUGGCAUUAUCUUAUAUGGAUGAUUGAAAUAUUUUAGGACAUCCAGGUGCUUAAUUAGAUUAAUUCAUGUUUGCUAUAGUUGAUAAAUUUAUCAAGUCAAAAGCAAGUAUCGACAUAUGUAUUUCAAUGCAACUAAUAGAUAUUAAAUGAAUCAGGGAAUUUCAUAAAAACAACAGUCCAAAAUCUUGUGGACCUUUAUUACAACUCAAACUACAAACAAAUCCAAACGAAUCUCUUUAAUUUUCUUGAUAGAAACUCCUUUCUUAGAUGUGUAUGAUCCUUGAAGCCUUUUGCCUCCAUAUGGAACAUGAAGCAAAAUUUGUAAAGAUGCACAAGAUAUCCAUCUGUAUAGAUAAGAACGAAGGCCUGGUGAAUUAGCAGCGUGGAAGAUCCUUGGGUGGAGGCAGAAUAUUAUGAUCUGAUCCUGGUCCAUUUUCCACUAAAAAUGCUGUUUUAAGUCCCCAUCCUGUGUGCAACUCCAGAUGACAGUGGAAAAACCAGACCCCUUCACAAAAAAUUGGAUAUGUUAAGAAUAAAUGAGAAACAAUAUAUAGAAAAAGUUCAUUAACUAAAGUUGGUUGUAAACUAGGUACCUGGAUUAUCAGCUCUGAACCGAAUAGCAGUCCAACCACCCGUUGGAACACCUACAGUAUUUCUUUCUACAGGAUCAACCAAGUUAUAUUUUGCUGGAUCCUUUUUGGGAUCAAAGUUUCCGACGCCAGUUCCAACCACAAAGAAAUUGUAGCCGUGGAGAUGGAAAGGAUGUGAUUCCACUGAUAACAAGUUGGUGUCCUGAAUUACUAUUUCAACUGUGGAAUUGAAAGCAAUUUUACUAAGCCUUGUGCCUAGAUUUGUCCGUAGGUUGGCUGUAAGAG
rnacentral:lncRNA from 1 species